GAUGAAGAACGCAGCGAAAUGCGAUACGUAAUGUGAAUUGCAGAAUUCAGUGAAUCAUCGAGUCUUUGAACGCACAUUGCGCCCCCUGGUAUUCCGGGGGGCAUGCCUGUCCGAGCGUCAUUGCUGCCCUCAAGCACGGCUUGUGUGUUGGGCCUCCGUCCUCCUCCCGGGGGACGGGCCCGAAAGGCAGCGGCGGCACCGCGUCCGGUCCUCGAGCGUAUGGGGCUUCGUCACCCGCUCUUGUAGGCCCGGCCGGCGCUUGCCGACACAUCAAUCUUUUUUCCAGGUUGACCUCGGAUCAGGUAGGGAUACCCGCUGAACUUAAGCAUCUCAAUAAGCGGAGGA
rnacentral:misc_RNA from 1 species